UACGUAGGGUGCAAGCGUUGUCCGGAAUUAUUGGGCGUAAAGGGCUCGUAGGCGGUCCGUCACGUCGGGAGUGAAAACUUGGGGCUUAACCCCAAGCCUGCUUCCGAUACGGGCGGACUAGAGGUAGGCAGGGGAGAACGGAAUUCCUGGUGUAGCGGUGAAAUGCGCAGAUAUCAGGAGGAACACCGGUGGCGAAGGCGGUUCUCUGGGACGGUACUGACGCUGAGACGCGAAAGCGUGGGGAGCGAACAGG
rnacentral:rRNA from 1 species